rnacentral:rRNA from 1 species
GAUGAACGCUGGCGGCGUGCCUAAUACAUGCCAGUCGAGCGAACAGAUGAGGAGCUUGCUCCCCUGACAUUACCGGUGGACGUGUGAGUAACACGGGGGAAAACUACCUAUAAGACUUGGAUCACUCCGGGAAACCGGAGCUAAAACCGGAUAAUAUUUCGACCCGACUGGUUCAAUACUGAAAGACCGUUUUGCUGUGACUUAUAGAUGUAUCAGCGCCGCAUUAGCUAGUUGGUAAGGUGACGGCUUACCAACGCCGCAAUGCGUAGCCGACCUGAGAGGGUGAUCCGCCACACGGGAACUGAGACACGAUCCAGACUCCUACGGGGGGCCGCAGUAGGAAAUCUUCCGGGAGGGGGGAGAGCGGAACGGAGCAACGCGGGGGGAGUGAUGAAGGUCUUCGGAUCGGAAAACUCUGUUAUUAGGGAAGAACAAAUGUGUAAGUAACUAUGCACGUCUUGACGGUACCUGAUCAGAAAGCCACGGCUAACUACGUG